rnacentral:lncRNA from 1 species
UUUUUUGUAGGUAAACAUGUAAUCAACUUGUUUGUGCAGUACACUCCUUAUAAGCCAUCAGAUGGGAGCUGGUCGGAUCCUGCUUACCGGGUACGUUUUAAAAGUCUCUGUCCAUUUGGUAAAAAGCACAAUGCAUGGUCACCUGAAUUGUGUUUGCCUGAAUUAGUUUCAUUAACUUGAGAAUCUAACUCGUCAUCUCCCCUUUUUCGUGGUUGAGCAGGAAUCGUUUGCACAAAGGUGCUUCAGCUUGAUUGAUGAAUUUGCACCUGGCUUCAGCUCAUCAAUAAUCGACUACGACAUGCUGGCACCACCUGACCUCGAAAGAGAAAUUGGUUUGACAGGUGAAAAACAUAAAUAUGGUUAAAAACAUGGCCGCAAAUUAGAGCUGCUAAUUCAAUAGUUCUUACCUUAAAAUCUCUCUUCUCAGGAGGUAACAUAUUCCGCGGCGCUAUGAGGUUGGAUUCCUUAUUCCUUAUGCGACCAGUAAAAGGAUGGUACGUAGCAAGUUAACAGUUUGUUUUCGUAGUCAGGACCAUAUUCGCAAAAUCUGGAAACAGUCUUGGGUUGUUUUUAUACAGGUCGAGUUACAGAACUCCUGUGCAAGGGCUGUACCUUUGCGGCAGUGGAACUCACCCAGGAGGUGGUGUGAUGGGCGCACCUGGACGUAAUGCUGCUACUGUGGUUCUUCGGGACAUCAAGAAGACGCCAUGAAAGGGCUUUAGAAUUUCCGCUGUAAUCAGCGUUUGCAUUCCCACAACAUUCUGUGUUUGUUUGGUCAUCAAACUUCCGUAUUGUUAUAACUUUUCUGUACUGGGAAAUAUGUAAAAUAAUCAAAGUGUGUGGUUACCCUAGAGUCCAAUCAAUCAAAUCCUAGUCUGGAACUUACAACAUUUCAUGAUGCUAUCAUUCAGUUUACAGGGCAAGAAACGGUCUAGAGCUGGACUGCGACUCCAUUUGUUUCUUACAAAUCACUUCAAAGUCAUAUGUAAUGUAUCAUUACAGUCAUCAAUCAUGCAUACACAUCUCUUUGAUUGAUUAAAAGCUUAAAAGCCAACCCAAACUCCAGGCUUGAACAAUGUCUGUCCAGAAUCCACUACUGUUCCCCAUAUAUUGACUGUUUCGUUCGUCCACUUGUUUCUCAUCAACUCAUUUAAUUACGAUAACAUGCUUAAUAACAAUGUCUCAACUCUUCCCAUCGACGGAAUCAAUGCCUUGAGACACUAUCGGGUUGUACAGGUUUUCCUCGUCGAAUUCUUCAAAAAUUUGCGCUACCUCCUCCAGCCCGAAACUGUUUUGGUGACUAAUCCUAUAGAAUUUGAAGCUGAUUCUUGCCUGCACCACACACAAGUUUGUUACUUGGUAAUGUAACAAGAGAGCCGGGCGGGAAAGUUUAACGCAAGUGUGUGUGUGAGAAAGAGGGGCACCUUGAUAUCUCUUCAACUACCUUCAUAACCUCAGCAGAACUCGUCUCCAGCACUUGGCCUCCGAAGAUGAUCUCAUCUAAAAUGGUAUGCAGCUAGCCAACAAAACAAAUUGAUGCUCAACCGUCAAGUACCAAGGAGUUGCUAAUUUUAUAAUACCGGAGACUAAAAGAUGCACAUCUUUGACACGAUGAUCAAAAGUUAAACACAAUUCAACGUUAAAUGCAAAUCAUUAUCAUAUCAAAAUAUUGAUCCAGUAGAUGACACAGUUGUAUCGAUCAGCAUUUAUAUCGAAAAGAUCCACAAUAGCAUCGACAGGUGAUAAAGCCAACAAAUAAGACUUCCCCUGAAUGAAAACAGGUAAUAUCACAUACCUUGCUAUAAUUGAACACUAUAUCAAGCUGACACACAUUUCUGAAACAUUUGUCUAGCGUCUCCACGAAAACUGCAAGCAUGGAAGUCUAAUUAAGCAUACAGGUAUUACCAAAGUGGAAAGAGUUGCAAUACUGACACGUGGUCUCAAAGAUUUACUUUGGUAUCCAGAGAAGUCCAAAUAUAGAGAAGGGCUAUGGAAAACAUUUUCAACAAGGUUAAGCAUUCACCAACUUAGCAAACAGUGGACUCCAGGAAUCAAGGCUUGCCUCCAUUUGGCUUAAAGCUGCAGAGACGACCCUUUUUGGUAAUCGUAAUCAACUGCUUAACCUUCUCUCAGUACCUCUCUAUUAACCCACUCGAGUGUUGAGAUUAACAACAUCCCUUUUGCUCAUAAUUAUUGAUAUCCCCUAGUUCUUUUAGCCUCAAAUACCUAGAUAGACAAAAAUUCCAAACAGCAGUUUCAUUUGGUCCAAAUGAUAUACCUCACCUAAAGCACAUUGGUUCAUCAGGUUCAGCAAUUAGCACUUCACUUCAACAUCCUUGAAUCAUGACCAAGCAAAGAACGGAAACAGGAUUGGUGAACAUACCUUGGAUGAGAUCAAGCAUGGCAAGCUCGUUUUCUGAACUAUCGAACACAAAGACGAAGUAGAGAGUUGCGAAGUGCUUGUACACAAGACGACUAUCCUGCCGCAGAAUUCAAAACCAUAAAACCGAUACUAAUAAGAUACAAAAAAUCAGGCAGCAAAGUUUCGAGAAGUUCAAUAAUACCACUCGGAAUUAAAGGAAUUACCGGGCCGAAAAUUGAAUCCGCAUCCAUGAAAUUGCUAACAUUAUCUGCUCUACCGCACAAAACUACGCACCAGAAACCCUAAAUCAAAGAUCCAAACCACCACUCACAAGAUCUGACAGGAGUUGAAUGAAAUUGUCAAGCCCAGGAAGGACCAAAAUUACCUCCAAACACCGUCCGAAUAAUCUCCUGCUGCUUCUCCACGGACUUUCCGCGCCAGAAUUCGAGAGAGGAAGCGAGAUCAUCAGAAAAUGAAACUAUAGACAACUAGCUGGCAGACUUUCUUCGUAACAAACAGGAAAGGGAACAGAGCACAUUACUUGUCCUGUUUCUUACCAUAAAAUCGUAGAAUUUCGUGAGCCGAGGCUUCCCUUGAGUGUUCAUCACCAUCGUCGCUUUUAUCAUCUUCACAGUUCAGAGCAAGUCGAUCUCUCCUCUGAUUCUGAGCACGUCACCCAGUCACAGAAUGUAUACAGAAGAAGUGUUUCAAUACAAAGACCUUCGGCUUCAAGCGCAACCACUCCAUCUUCCUCACUGCCGCAACUCUCAAUGAUUCACAGAACGGGCCAUCUUCCGGAUUCAGACGCUGAUUUACAUUGCAUGGGCCCUGCAUGGGGUUAUUGCAUGGGUAAGGCCCAAGUCUAUGUUCUCUCACUCUAUCUGCAGUACGUCCUUCUUCCCUGCUAAAAACAAGUUUCGGCCAUGGCUGGCUGGCCAAAGGUGACCAACUCCAAGACUCGGUAUAGUUUUUUUACAUAGCAUAGUAAUCAACAAGUACAAGAGACAAGGAAGUCGUGAAAACCACGGAUAAAUGAGUAAUUAAGCAACAUAAACAUGUGGUCAGUGCUAAAAAUAACAAAACUACAUUGUCGACGAAGCUGGAUUAAUUGCUCCAUUGGAGUUUUCUGACAAACAUAGCAUCCAUAAGCCGCCCAUGUUCUCUCUAUAUAAUCCAACUGAAAUUGUACCACAAAGAGAAGCCACACAAUCGAUAAACAAACAAACAAACAAAAACCCGUAACAACUAGGUCGAGAAAAAUGAAGACGACCUCGGCAGUCAAUAUUGCUUUCCUGACAAGUGCACUUUUUGUUCUGGCGGCCGCCACUUUCGUAGACGGAGCUGAUCCCGCUGAUCUGUUCUGCAACAGCAAAAAGUUCAGUGGCGAUGAAGGUGACCUCGCCAUAGCCACGAGGGACAAACUCCUCGACCGCCUGGUAGCCAAACAACGAUUCUGCACCAAGCAAAAAGGCGACACUACGCUUUUCGGAUUAGCCAGUUGUGCCGCCAAAUCCACGACCAGUCAGUGCUCUGUUUGUCUAGAUACCGCUCGAUUUGUUCUGAAACAUAACUGCGAUGACCCAAUCGGGGCCCGAGUUACUGUGAAGAUCCCAAAGACCAACAAGAGCUGUUUCAUGCAAUUUGAGACCACCAAAUUUUGCUAGCUCUCACUUUCAGCUUGCGUCUUUCGUCGUUUUAUUUGGAUAUUGAAUUAUGCCUUACGUGUUAGCUUGUUUCCAUGAUCGGAAUUCCAUAUCUUUAUUUUCCGCAAGAUCAUCAAUAAUAAUUAUAAUUCCAAACAUUGAAUUUGUUUGCUUCGACUACAGAACUGUUCCUCAUUUCGCAUGGGACUUCUGGGCCAUAAGAGGUUUCAAUAUCUGAAUGCAUAUGUAUUAUAUGGUAGUUGGGUUCAUUCAUUUCGACCUCUGCCCAUUGGUGAUAAUAAGAUACCCUACAUUCUCCCUUCAUUCUCAUUCUUUAUUCGAAUGACUAACAUGAUAUCAACGCCUCAUAAUUCAGUCUCCGAUUUACCUUCUGUCCACUUCAAUGGUGAAAGUUCGUCUCAAAACAAUUCUGGAUCGAUUACGAGCAACUGAACAGAACAAAAAGCACAGUUAACAAACUCACUCUAUCCGACUUCGCUAAGAAUAAAUCGAAGUUAUAAUGAGUGAACAAAAAGAAAUCAGCCACCGCAAAUACUUUGAUUUAUAUCGUUCCCCUGUAUUAAACUCCAAUCGCGCGGACAGCAAAGAACACACGGCGAUCAACUCGAAUUUUCAGAUAGAUGCCGGCUGAUAUAACCGGAUGCAAAGCCACCUUAAACACACCGCGCAUUAUGGUUGAUUGUUGUCGCCGAUAAAUCAGCAAAAAAAUAGGGAAGAAAACAUUAGAUUACCCUGCAACUCCCGCAAAAUUAUUCCAUAAUCUUCUUUAUUGCAAACAGCAACCAAUAAUACAUAGGUUGAUGUUCUGCAUGAAAGGAAAUUAGUCUCAGAGCCUACUGCUCUCACUACCAUUAGACACGACAAAAAGGAACCAGCCCAAUAUUAAAGUAUCAAUUUGAUCAAAGCCAAUUAAAUCGUUCAAUACCCGACUCAGCUACAUCAAAUAUUAGAACCCUAAUAUAAAUGAACCCCGAUAUAAAUUUAGAGUAACACUCCGGGUAGAAACACAACAUCAAAUAUUAGUACCCCAAUAUAAAUUUAUCCACGCUUAGCAAACCCCAAGUAAAACUGUUCGCCAUUAUAUUUAUACAUUUAAGCUGUCCCCGUUUCUUUCAACAACAAAUGUAUCAUUUUCAAUAAUUGAACUGCAGAAAACAAACAUCAUUUUGAAAGCUAAAAUAGACUUCUAACACAGACUAUGUCGAUAAGUACAAGCCAAGAAAAAGAAUGGUUGACUUGAGUGGAUUCGAACCACCAACCUCUCACAUCGCCCAAAAGGAAUGGAGCGCUCUACCAUUUUGAGCUUACAAGUCCAUAUCAGCAUUAAUUAACCACCGACGUAUUGCAUAAUAACAUUCCAGAAAAACAACCAGUGUGUGAAAAGUAAACAGAAAGAGUGAAGCACCACAAAAUAUAACAAUCAUCCCCAAAAAGAACCCAAAAUUGAAGUUUUACCUAAAAAUCUCAUGGCUUAAAUAAGAGAACCUUUCCAUUAUUACAUAACGAGAUAUAACAUGAGCAGCCCAGAAAAAAGGAUACUUGCAAAGGAUCAAAACAAACUAUAGGCAUAACCAUGACUAAUUGUAGAGAAACUACAGUACUUCGAUAAAUCAAAAGGAGACUUCAAACCAAAAAAUCAAAUAUAUGCAAACCAUACAACUGAGAGAACUGGCGUGUUCAGAUUCAUAAACUCCAUAACCAAAACAAUCUUCACCCGGCAUCACCACCAAAUCCUCGAGUGCAGCAUCAAAUGGAUCUCUGAACUUAAAAACAGGAUUCGUCCCGAGAUACUAAAGAAAAUACAUGUAAUCAACAAUACAAAACCCGGUAAAUAGACUAAUAACAAAGUCACCACUCUCCGACUCACUCGAGGUGUACAAACCUCACUACUACCCCAAUUGCAGUGUAUACGACAAACAUAAUAUAGAAAAGAACAUCGAAAACUUUUGGCUGCCCAUUCACGAGGCCCGGUUAAUAGUUAACAGUCAAUUGAAAUGAGAUUAUACUUAACAGGCAAUUGAAAGGAGAUUAUAGCCGUUCCAGCACAACAAAGUGAAGACUUCCGGAAAGGGUUGGCUUGAGAAAUACAGAACACAGAAUCGGAAUAGGAAACUUCCGGCGCACAAGUUAAUAAAGUACAAAAUUACCUGGCAGGAGUGAUGGAUGGAUGUUUCCUCGGGUAUCCAGGAUAAGUAUUAGACAAGUGAUAAACUGUUACCUUCAUGGUCAAGCGCCUUGAAACCCUGGCAAUUAGAGCAGGGAAGGAAGAAGUAGUAUGCUCCGAUCGGUCGCUUUUGGAGCAUAGGAGUAUGGAAGCGAUGGGACACAAGACACAGCAGAGGGAAGAACCCGGGCAAAUCCCCGUGCGAUCUCCCCUCUGAAACAAACGGUUGUUUUUUUAUUCAUUGGUGACCUGCCAUACGAGCGCACCCUAUAUGGCAAAGGUCGGAUGACAAAGAUACUAACAAGGACACCAGGCCACCGAGCACAGCGCCAUCAUCCCCCUCAUAUCUUAUACACCCACAAUCGAAGAUAUCCAGCUCCCGUCACUACGCAUCAUACUUGGCUCCAGCGGCAGACAAAACGCCUCGACAUACCUGAUCUGUGACUAGAGGGCGAGUACAUCUUCAGAUCCGAACAUAUGGAUAGAUCUACGAUAUCACACGCAGAACAAAAAUUACAACGGCUCUUCGAUACACGAACCAUAAGAAUCGCAUAAAUACAUGAACAACACCUUCCCUAUUGCACCAGCUGGUCAAUAACAGACCAUGUGAUCACAAAUCGCCUCCUUUCCGAUCGCACCAACUGAUCAGCAACAGGCCGUGUAAUCGCAAAUCUCUGGAAAGACGGAAAUAGAAGUCAUGUAACAAACAAGUGCAGAUAUAAUCAAGAAAAUGGAGAUUAGAUCGAAACCGGUGGACAGAUCUAUGUUACGCCAUCAACAUGCGAAUGAGAAGCCGGAACGACGGCUCAGCACGUCUCCGCCCUUGGUAGGUACCUCAUUGCGUAGAUCGUCGCCUGAUCUACAUGAGUGUAUCAUCCACGCGCCGUGUCGAACGACCAUGGAGAACAGAUCUGGAGAAAAGACGAACGGCCAGAAGGAGAACGGAGACAAAUAAAACAACCAGGGCGAAAGAAGCAAUAAAGAAAAGGUUAAGUAUGAUAAA